CGAGAACAUGGCUUUGGAGUCAGAUGGACUUGGGUCCAAAUCCUGACAUUACAGCUUCCAGGUGUGAGUUGGGAAAAGCUGCUAACCUCCCCUAGCUGUAACAUUAUUCUCAUCUAAUGGGUCAGGAAGCAAAGAUCAAGAAAGACCAAUUGGCAAACAUGAGUCCUGUGUUGUCAUCUAUAAAAAAAGAUUCACCUUGCAUGAUUCUUAUAAGGAAUGAGAAGAUAAGAUGAGGCUGUCUCACACCCUCAGACCAGCCCAUUCCCCAGCGGAACACCACAGGGAGCAGCAUUUCCCGGCCAAGUCCUGCCUAUUCUGACCCACAGAACCAUGAG
rnacentral:lncRNA from 1 species